rnacentral:rRNA from 1 species
GACGAACCGUGCGAACGUUAUUCGGAAUCACUGGGCUUAAAGGGCGCGUAGGCGGGCUCGUCAGUCAGGGGUGAAAUCCCACGGCCCAACCGUGGAAGUGCCUCUGAUACUGCGGGCCUCGAGGGGGAUAGGGGCGUGCGGAACUCAGGGUGGAGCGGUGAAAUGCGUAGAUAUCAAGCGGAACACCAGUGGCGAAGGCGAGUCCCUGGACAACUCCUGACACUGAGGCACGAAAGCUAGGGGAGCAAACAGG